GCGAGCUGGCGAUGCCAUGGGACGCUGCUGCGUGGUGGCCUUGGAUUUUGUGCAUGUGCACGUGUGUCUCUUGCUACGUGUCCUUUGUGAACUGAUGUGCAGUGUGGAAGAGUCUUCGCUCUGCAGCGAUGAGCUGCUGUCCGAAGAAGUGGGACAAAGGCCGCUACUUUACCACCAGCGCCUCAAAACGUAUCGUGACAGCAGGCUCCAGAACGACACCCGGCUUGAUGUAGUGAAUAAAUUGAAACAAUGUGGUGCAAUGCAGUGGCCGAACUGCAGCAUAUUUGGAGUUACCUUGGGUAGAAGUUUCUUCGGCUGGGAAAUGUCUGCCACAAGUCUGACACCGGCGCAGCGGGCAUUGAGAAGUCGUGGGUUCUCAUGCCGCGCCUCAUGUUCCUGGCCGAUGCAAUGCAACGACGAAGCACCGUCUGCACGCUGAUGGGAAAAGAUGGGAGAGGAUUCGAGCUGUCCAAUGCUCAGUUACCUCAGUCUGUCACUGACGCAGCGUCAUCAAUACAAAAUUUGUGUCACACAUUUCAUGCAAACAAUACCCAGCAGACGUCACCGUCUUACGACUUACUGGAAGAACUCCCCUGUCACAAGGUUUGUCCAAGUGCAGCUGCUUCCUCUGCACCAAGUAUUGAGGCAGACAGACUGCCUGUCGGAAAAACAUCAAAGUCGGCAGCGAUCUUGGAACAAAUUUCUUUGCAUGUCGCCCGUUCACCACAGCGCUCAACUUGCUCUGAAGAAGUUUCUUCGAAAUCAAGAAAUUGUAAGCAAGCUCACAAAAAGCAAAAAGAAUGACCUUGAUCACUUGACGAUGUCUACACUUGGAACAAAUCAGCAGCGGCUGAAUGAAUUAACGGCCGCUGCGGUGUCUGUAGUAGUCAAUAAACACUUCCUAAUGAGCUUAAAGGGUCUUCUCGGUAAACACUAUGGUCGGAAGGAGGAGGAGGUUAAGCUGCAAAUUCAUUGCCUCUUAGUUGAGGCAGCGUUCCCUGCGAAAGAUGCAGUGUCCUGAAAAAAACUAUGUCAGUGACGCUUCAUUGCAGCUGGUUGGAGCUCUUGUGGUGUUUUGUGCUUCGUGCAGAUAUCAGAACUUAAGGCGCUUUGUGUUGAGAGUAAGUUAUAAAGUUAUAAAGAAGUUUCGUUUUUAUAAAGUUAUAAAGCAGCAAGUUAUCUAAGUUAUAAAGGAGUUUCAUGUUAACCGCCAUGGUGAUCUGACAAUGCAGUGUUUCCUUUCAAGUGCUGCAUAUUUCUGAA